UCAGGAUGAACGCUAGCGGCAGGCUUAACACAUGCAAGUCGAGGGGUAACAGGGAGCUUGCUCUGCUGACGACCGGCGCACGGGUGCGUAACGCGUAUACAAUCUGCCUUACACUAAGGGAUAGCCCAGAGAAAUUUGGAUUAAUACCUUAUAGUUUAUUAGAAUGGCAUCAUUUUAAUAAUAAAGAUUACGGUGUAAGAUGAGUAUGCGUCCCAUUAGUUUGUUGGUAAGGUAACGGCUUACCAAGACUACGAUGGGUAGGGGCCCUGAGAGGGGGAUCCCCCACACUGGUACUGAGACACGGACCAGACUCCUACGGGAGGCAGCAGUGAGGAAUAUUGGACAAUGGGCGAGAGCCUGAUCCAGCCAUGCCGCGUGCAGGAAGACGGUCCUAUGGAUUGUAAACUGCUUUUAUACAGGAAGAAUAAGGACUACGUGUAGUCUGGUGACGGUACUGUAAGAAUAAGGACCGGCUAACUCCGUGCCAGCAGCCGCGGUAAUACGGAGGGUCCGAGCGUUAUCCGGAAUUAUUGGGUUUAAAGGGUCCGUAGGCGGGCUAUUAAGUCAGGGGUGAAAGUUUGCAGCUCAACUGUAGAAUUGCCUUUGAUACUGAUAGUCUUGAAUUAUUGUGAAGUGGUUAGAAUAUGUAGUGUAGCGGUGAAAUGCAUAGAUAUUACAUAGAAUACCGAUUGCGAAGGCAGAUCACUAACAAUAUAUUGACGCUGAUGGACGAAAGCGUGGGUAGCGAACAGGAUUAGAUACCCUGGUAGUCCACGCCGUAAACGAUGGAUACUAGCUGUUCGGUUUUCGGACUGAGCGGCCAAGCGAAAGUGAUAAGUAUCCCACC
rnacentral:rRNA from 1 species